GGCGGUUGAAAUGGCGUAAAAUGGGCAACUGCUGGCAAAUACUGGCAAUCUAUGUCAAUGAUAAAUAACACAAACCAUUGAUUUUUGGUUGUUCUUGUAGGAACUCAUAAUCGCUUGGUCGCUGGUUCAAGUCCAGCAGGGGCCACCA
rnacentral:tRNA from 1 species